rnacentral:rRNA from 1 species
CAAGUCGACGAUGAAGCCGGAGCUUGCUCUGGUGAAUUAGUGGCGAACGGGUGAGUAACACGUGAGUAACCUGCCCUUGACUCUGGGAUAACUGCUAGAAAUGGUAGCUAAUACCGGAUACGACCCUCGGCGGCAUCGCCAGGGGGUGGAAAGAAUUUCGGUCAAGGAUGGACUCGCGGCCUAUCAGCUAGUUGGUGAGGUAACGGCUCACCAAGGCGACGACGGGUAGCCGGCCUGAGAGGGUGACCGGCCACACUGGGACUGAGACACGGCCCAGACUCCUACGGGAGGCAGCAGUGGGGAAUAUUGCACAAUGGGCGCAAGCCUGAUGCAGCAACGCCGCGUGAGGGAUGACGGCCUUCGGGUUGUAAACCUCUUUUAGUAGGGAAGAAGCGAAAGCGACGGUACCUGCAGAAAAAGCACCGGCUAACUACGUGCCAGCAGCCGCGGUAAUACGUAGGGUGCAAGCGUUGUCCGGAAUUAUUGGGCGUAAAGAGCUCGUAGGCGGUUUGUCGCGUCUGCUGUGAAAUCCCGAGGCUCAACCUCGGGCCUGCGGUGGGUACGGGCAAACUAGAGUGUGGUAGGGGAGAUUGGAACUCCUGGUGUAGCGGUGGAAUGCGCAGAUAUCAGGAAGAACACCGAUGGCGAAGGCAGAUCUCUGGGCCAUUACUGACGCUGAGGAGCGAAAGCGUGGGGAGCGAACAGGAUUAGAUACCCUGGUAGUCCGCGCCGUAAACGUUGGGAACUAGAUGUAGGGUCCAUUCCACGGAUUCUGUGUCGCAGCUAACGCAUUAAGUUCCCCGCCUGGGGAGUACGGCCGCAAGGCUAAAACUCAAAGGAAUUGACGG